AUUGAACGCUGGCGGCAGGCCUAACACAUGCAAGUCGAGCGGAGCGGCGGACGGGUGAGUAAUGUCUGGGAAACUGCCUGCUGGAGGGGGAUAACUACUGGAAACGGUAGCUAAUACCGCAUACUAUCAGAUGAGCCUAGGUCUGAUUAGCUAGUUGGUGGGGUAAAGGCCUACCAAGGCGACGAUCCUUAACUGGUCUGAGAGGAUGAACAGUAAACCUGGAACUGAGAGACGGCCCAGACUUCGACGGGAGGCAACAGUGGGGAAUAUUGGACAAUGGGCGAAAGCCGGAUCCAGCCAUGCCGAGUGUGUGAAGAAGGUCUUCGGAUUGUAAAGCAAGUUAAGUUGGGAGGCGUUACCAUCAGAAUAAGCACCGGCUAACUUCGUGCCAGCAGCCGCGGUAAUAC
rnacentral:rRNA from 1 species